ensembl:lncRNA
GGGGUUAGUAGGUGUUGGAGGUUGUUCUGGUCUGGAGCGUCAGUGUGGUGGGGGUUAGUAGGUGUUGGAGGUUGUUCUGGUCUGGAGGGUCAGUGUGGUGGGGGUUAGUAGGUGUUGGACUGGGUUGUUCUGGUCUGGAGCAUCAGUGUGGUGGGGGUUAGUAGGUGUUGGAGGUUGUUCUGCUCUGGAGGGUCAGUGUGGUGGGGGUUAGUAGGUGUUGGAGGUUGUUCUGGUCUGGAGCGUCAGUGUGGUGGGGGUUAGUAGGUCUUGGAGGUUGUUCUGGUCUGGAGCGUCAGUGUGGUGGGGGUUAGUAGAUGUUGGACUUGGUUGUUCUGGUCUGGAGGGUCAGUGUGGUGGGGGUUAGUAGGUGUUGGAGGUUGUUCUGGUCUGGAGGGUCAGUGUGGUGGUGGUUAGUAGGUGUUAGACUUGGUUGUUCUGGUCUGGAGCGUCAGUGUGGUGGGGGUUAGUAGGUGUUGGAGGUUGUUCUGGUCUGGAGGGUCAGUGUGGUGGUGGUUAGUAGGUGUUAGACUUGGUUGUUCUGGUCUGGAGGGUCAGUGUGGUGGUGGUUAGUAGGUGUUAGACUUGGU